AUUGAACGCUGGCGGCAGGCUUAACACAUGCAAGUCGAACGAGUGGCGGACGGGUGAGUAAUGCUUUGGAAUCUGGCUUAUGGAGGGGGCUAACGACGGGAAACUGUCGCUACUACCGCUUACCAUACGAUGAGCCCAAGGGGGAUUAGGUAGUUGGUGGGGUAAUGGCGUACCAAGCCGACGAUCUCUAGCUGGUCUGAGAGGAUGACCGGCCACACCGGGACUGAGAAACGGCCCGGACUCCUACGGGAGGCAGCAGUGGGGAAUAUUGCGCAAUGGGGGCAACCUGACGCAGCCAUGCCGCGUGAAGGAAGAAGGCCUUCGGGUUGUAAAGGUCUUUCGGUGACGAGGCGUUAAUCACAGAAGAAGCACCGGCUAACUCCGUGCCAGCAGCCGCGGUAAUUC
rnacentral:rRNA from 1 species